UCGUUUGAACAAAAAAAAGGU
rnacentral:piRNA from 1 species